UGGGGAAUAUUGGACAAUGGGCGAAAGCCUGAUCCAGCAAUGCCGCGUGAGUGAUGAAGGCCUUAGGGUUGUAAAGCUCUUUUACCAGGGAUGAUAAUGACAGUACCUGGAGAAUAAGCUCCGGCUAACUCCGUGCCAGCAGCCGCGGUAAUACGGAGGGAGCUAGCGUUGUUCGGAAUUACUGGGCGUAAAGCGCACGUAGGCGGCUUUUCAAGUCAGGGGUGAAAUCCCGGGGCUCAACCCCGGAACUGCCUCUGAAACUGGAUGGCUAGAAUCUUGGAGAGGCGAGUGGAAUUCCGAGUGUAGAGGUGAAAUUCGUAGAUAUUCGGAAGAACACCAGUGGCGAAGGCGACUCGCUGGACAAGUAUUGACGCUGAGGUGCGAAAGCGUGGGGAGCAAACA
rnacentral:rRNA from 1 species